rnacentral:rRNA from 1 species
CCCUUAGAUGUUCUGGGCCGCACGCGUGCUACACUGAUGCAUUCAACGAGUCUAAAACCUGGUCUGAUAGGGCUGGGUAAUCUUUUGAAAGUGCAUCGUGAUUGGGAUAGAUGAUUGCAAUUCUUCAUCUUCAACGAGGAAUGCCUAGUAAACGCAAGUCAUCAGCUUGCAUUGAUUACGUCCCUGCCCUUUGUACACACCGCCCGUCGCUCCUACCGAUUGAAUGAUCCGAUGAAUACCAUGGAUUGAGAGUACGAAUAGGUUCGCUUAUUUCUGCUGCUCGAGAAGUGGAGUAAAUCUUAUCAUUUAGAGGAAGGAGAAGCCGUAACA